UACAUUCAAGCCGCAGCCCUCAAAACAUACAUCACGCCACGAUCCCCUUCCUGUUCCCCACGCACGGGCGGUUGCCGCCGGCGUCGCCGCCGCCGCCUUCCUCGCUGAGUCCGCGGCCGAAAUCCACGCCGGGAGAAGAGGUAUCUAUCCCUCCGACGCCUUCCUCUCCCUCAAGCCUCGACCUCGCCGGCAUCCCUCCUCCCGUUCCAAGUCCAGGAGACGCAUGGGGACGGCGGCGGUGGCGAGGCGUCUCGCGCGCACGGACACCCCCACCCUACGCCUGCUCGUGCGCGCUGCCCUGCGAGGUUUAGGCAUCGCGCCUGCUGCGCUCCCCUGUGGCGAUGAUGUGGCUUACUGCUGCCAUACGGCGCCUCAUCGAGGAGUAGAGCAGCUGCCCCAUGCUAGACAAGAUCCUCCAGAUCCUCUCCACCCAGCCGCCAUCAUUGCAGGAGGACUUUAACGAGUGGUCACCAAGAAGCUUCCCCAAAUCCUACAAGAGGCUCAGGUUAGACGAGCCGCUGACAAAGACACACCUCUAUUCUGAAUUUUUACAUGCGAAGAUGGACCAUCAGCUACGGAAUAUGUUGGCUAACCUCUCGCAGGUUGCUAACAAUUUUUUUCUUAUUGUCAUCUUGGUAAUUGACAUUGGUGGUAUUGUCUUUUAGUUCAACAGAAAGUUGUUCAAGUGAAAAUUCAGAGGAACAUGUGGAACAAAAGACAUGGUAUAAAAAGGAAAGGAAAGACUAAACAGUACAAUGAUGCAGGUUUGGAGCCGACCAAGGAAGUCACAGUUUAAGAGCUCGAGGAGGGGUGUGUGGAGGUUGCCGGCGCCAGUGGCUGCACUGCUGGUCUUCAUCGCCUGUUUCGGUCAGAUCCAGUCGGACCUAUCCUAUGGGUUCUCCACCGCUUCACUCUGCUUCAUGUGCAUCUGGGCGGAGAAGAUGACCCGACCUGCCUGGUCGCUCAACACUGCCUCCCUGCCCCUGUUGUUCGCCAGCCACACUCUCCCUUAUGCGGUAAUGAAUCUCAAGAAAUGCCCUUUCCUUUACAGAACAUCAAACCUACUUUUUUGUUUGAUGUUGGUGCAUGUCCUGCCUGAUAUGUGUGUUGGGCUGCUGCUGUGCGAUUGCUGGUUGUGUUGCUACUUGUGUCAAUGAUUAUUUUGCUAAAGUAUGUGGGACGACAGCGCUUCUGUCUUUUGGUGGAAUCCUUUUCCUUCUAAUUUAAUUACCUGAGAAAAAAUUCUAUAUUUUCUUAAUUUCCUUUCUCUGUUGUUUUCAUGGCUGACUAUUUGAAGUUCUCUGUUCACUCAAGUGGUUCUUGCCUGAGGGAAGAAAUUUUCCAUUGUUAAACGGAAUCAUUUACUUACAAUGAUUGUUGUACAAUUUUUCUGUUGUUAUAUGGAAUUAUUUACUUACAAUUAUUUAUGGGUCCUUGGAGUUGUUUGGUUGCAUUGUAUAUAAAUGACACUCCCAGCAAAUUUUUUAUGUUCAUCUAAUAAUGGAAAAGAUUCAUACCUUUGAUUUUGUAGGAGCGAUUUUAUUGCUCGAGUAAAAUAUGUGUUUACCAAAGAACAUGAAAAGGGCAAGUUUUUCUACAUUGGAACUUUCAUUACCCCCCCCCCCCAGUAUUUUAGUCCUUUUCUUUUCAUCUUGCUCCCAGGAAUCCUUGAGUGUAUAGGUUCUCUCCAUUGAAACCAUUUAGGUAGAAUACUUGUGGUGGUAUAGUUGUUUUACCAGUAUUGUAAUUUAGCUAUGCAAAAUUUAAUUGUGGCUCUAAGGAUUCAGGUUUGUCUCACGGUAAACCUUAUCAGUUACACCUGGUAAAAGUUGAAUACUGCAUCCAUUGAUAUUAUAUUCUGCUGAAUAAUAUAACAAAUUAUCCAUCUCUUUUAGGGCGGUUUGCUAACUUAUUUUGCAUAACAUUUCUAACCACAUCAAGUGUGCUCUUUGACGAAUCCUAAACAGAUAUAGAUGUACAUCUUGAUUAGGCCACCUAAUCAGUUUACUUUCUAAUACAUUGAAAGUUUUUUGGUCUCUGUUUAUGGUGAAAAAAUGGGUUCUUCACAAUUUAGUUGAUGGUAAAGAAUUAGUUAAGCCGACAUUCCAAUUACUUUACUAGAUUAGUGGUAUUGCACUUAUUUUUCAUAGAAUAUGAAUAUUUACUUUGUUUUUCAUAUCACAUGUUUAAGAUAUUAAGUUCAAUCUUCUUCUGUUGGCACCCAAAAGUUUGUCAAACUAUUUUACUUUUCCUUUAUGCAGCAGAAUGUCCAUCAUCACAGAAUCUUAGCUGAUAGACGGUGCGCUUUUUGGCGGAAGCUGAGACAAAGAUUUCUAUUCACCAAAAAGAUAGAGCCGCCAUCAGCAAGCACUGACGAGUAGCACAGUCUCAGCCGAUGCAUCGACGAGCUGAGGCGGGCUUCCAAUAGAGAUCAGAAACAGGGAAUGGCCUUUUGAGCUGGUAGAGGGAUCACUAGACGUGGUGUUCAUGUUUGUGUUGGCUUACAUGCAGAAAUAAGGAGGAUAGUAAGACUCUUGGAGGUCAUGUCUCUGCCAUUCAAGGAUUUCGAUAUCUGAAUGUUAUGACAAUAUAUAGAUAAGGGAGAUAGCCCUCCGCGUCCUGGUGGCUACUGUAUGCUGCAGCGAAGGGCACACUUCAAUUACUGUGCAGGCAGAUGCGGUGAUCCCGGGUGUGCUUUGAAUAGAUAUCAAGGACGUCAUUACCCGAGCCGUUCCUAUGAUUGAACAUGCGACCAAGGAAUGAAAACUCUUCUCCAGAGAUCUUCAAAAUAGUACAAUAUCAGUGUAAUAGAUACACAUGCCUGAAUCUGGAUACACUCCACUGCUGAUGGUAAUACUUUCCAGUCACUCACAAACAAUAAGCUUCAGCAUACAAGGCAGAGUCCAAUGCUAUUGGAUUGGGGUGCUGGUAUGCAAUUUCUUGUACAUUUUACUUCUAUAGGACUUCCAAUUACUGGCUACAAACUUUGUACAGGGCAGUCUGAGCUACCACUUGGUGAAGAUGGGAUUCAAUAUGUUCAGUGAUACCCUUUUUUGUGUGUAGGGAAUCACUGAUAUGAUACAACUAUUUGUUAUCUGAAUUUUCGAAUAUAUGUACACCCAUGGUGACGUUUCAAUGCUCAUUUAUAAAGCAUCCAUCUAUGAAUGAAUUUCUGAAUAUUACCACAUGCAAUGUGUAUGUAUGAUGAUAGUAGUACACUUGCGAUGAUGCAAAACACUUAUGAUGAUGUUAUUCAAGUAUUGUACUACAGUUGCAUUCAAGUCAUUUUUUCCGUUGCAACGCACAAGCAUUUGUACAUAUAUAAAUAUAUACAUAUACAACACCCUUAUAAUGUAUACUAAUUAGUCUUUGGUCAAAUAAACUACUUAGCAACUCAGCUUUGCACUUCGCUUUGCCAGCAUUGCCGCCAACACCAAACACAACCAGCCAUCAGAACGUCUCCUCCGCGACCCU